rnacentral:rRNA from 1 species
GCUAGCGUUGCUCGGAAUGACUGGGCGUAAAGGGCGCGUAGGCGGAUGGCACAGUCAGAUGUGAAAUUCCCGGGCUUAACCUGGGGGCUGCAUUUGAUACGUGUGAUCUAGAGUGAGGAAGAGGGUCGUGGAAUUCCCAGUGUAGAGGUGAAAUUCGUAGAUAUUGGGAAGAACACCGGUGGCGAAGGCGGCGGCCUGGUCCUUGACUGACGCUGAGGCGCGAAAGCGUGGGGAGCAAACAGG